UACAGAGGUCUCAAGCGUUUGUUCGGAUUCAUUGGGCGUAAAGGGUGUGUAGGUGGCGCCGUAAGUCGGGUGUGAAAUUUCGGAGCUUAACUCCGAAACUGCAUUUGAUACUGUGGUGCUUGAGGACUGGAGAGGAGACUGGAAUUUACGGUGUAGCAGUGAAAUGCGUAGAGAUCGUAAGGAAGACCAGUGGCGAAGGCGGGUCUCUGGACAGUUCC
rnacentral:rRNA from 1 species